CCAGUCCCAGUACACCAGGACAGUCACUGGAGUUGGUGAGUGAGACACGGGACCUGCCAAAGCCUGCAGCCCUCUGAGGCACAGAUGAAUGCCAGUAUCCCAUGUGAUGGAAAAGUUGCUAUGAGAAUUUAUCAAGAGAAAUCAGAGGAAGAAGCUCCUGGAAAGACUGGUGGUCUGCUGGGAUCUGGAGGAAAUGAGUUGUGAGCUGGUAAAUUGGAUGACUCCUCUCUCAGAGUGAAGAUUAAUGGGAUAACCCUGCUACUGAUUAAAGGCAGCUGAAAAGGGGAUUGUCAACAGCAAGGGACCACUUUAUGCAUUUGCUGCUUUCAUGAGAGACUUUCUGAAGCAAUUCUUUUCAUAGCCAGUCCAUUCUCAACCUGCAAGAUCAGUGUCACUUACAACAACAGAGAAGUCAUAGAGAUUUGAGUGUCUUUUACAGAUGUGAAGUCGAUUAGUCUUCAGUCUCACUGCCACAAUCUCAAAGACCCAGUGUGUGGCCUCCAACACAUGGAAAGAUGACCAAUGUGCAAGAUGCACAGGGGACUUUUCAGAUCUGAAGCCAACAGUCUGAAAAAUAAAGUACCCAGGGAAAGUGUGUCUUCUUUCCACUGACAGUGAGAUCAGGUUCAGGGAGAAGCUAAGCAUGCAAGUUAGAUAUGAAGAAAAAAGUCAAGCAGACAGAACACCAUUGUCUUAAUUUUUCACCACACUGUAUUUGUAUUUUGUUCUUUUAAAAAGUACUUUAAUUUUGUUUUGUGCCAUCCAAAUGGAGAGUAUCUGAAUACCACUGUUAUGUUACAACUCUUUGAUAGCUUCAUGUCUUUCCAAUUUCUCUGUGCUCUACUUAAAGAAGUAGAGGAGAAACAGUCAGAUAGUAAAAAUGCCCACUGCAAUAUCGUGGCCUUAAAAAUAUCCUGUGUUUGAAUGGCAAUUCCUUUUUUUCUUAGCUGAGUUGCGUGUAAUUCUUUUCACAUAUAUGGAAUAGUCCUGGGUAUUGAGUACAGCUGGGAUUUCUGAAUACAAAUUCAACCUGACUGCAUACCAUUGAAAUAGAACUCAGUUGCUUGGAGAGUCUAUUGGAGAAUUCCUUAAGUCUCAUUAAUCACGUAUGUGGUGACACUGGAGGGGGCUCUUUACUUUUUUAUUUCUCAUUUGUCUCUGAUAUUCCCUGUUUAUUACAAAAUCCCUUCCUUUGCUGGAUUUAUAAUGUGGCUAUUUUCCAAUACAGUUGUAUCCUUUCACUCCCAAGCGGAGCCACCCAUGUGUGAGAGCUGGGAACCUGGAGCUUUUUGAUGAAUAUCCUUACUUGCCACAGAGCAAAGAGACCAUGACAGACCUUGGAGAUGCUUGAUGGUGUGGCCCACCAGGAAGAUGACAAUUACAGAUGGAGUUUGCUGAUGCUGUGUGCACAAUCAGAUUCCAGUUCCCUCUGCAGCAGAAUGUGUCUGUCCCUCCGCUGUUCUUCUCCAAGAAAUUUGUCAUUUGUUAAAGAAAUAUGCACAUCUAAUUAGGAAAUUCAUUAAUUAAUAUUAUUUGCAGCAUAGUUGCUGUCUUUUAAUAUUGAUGCUGAGCUGAAAAUUUGUGAAGAUAUUUAGGUAUCAAGAUGUCUGUGAGGCCAUGAUUGCCUAAUGGGCAUCCAGCUUCCAAUGCCUUAAACAAAUCAUCUUUCCCAUUUCUAAUUUUCUCAUGCCUUCUCCUUCUCUCUAAUCCAGAUUCCUCUCUUGAUCUGUGCAGUGGUAAAUCAUGACCACAUAUUUGAAGUUCCAGUCAGUUUUUUACACAAAGGUGAGAUGCUAGGUACAUGGAAUGGAUUUGCAGAGGGGUUUCUCCUUGUGUUGGAAGUGUGGCAAUUGAAAACACUUCAGAGGAGGCACUGCAUGCUAUUGAUACUGCACAGUUACAGCUCCAAAACUCCACUUGGUUUAUGUGCAGAUGACAAAUUUUCAAGUGCACAUGAAAAAUGUCACUUUUUUUUUGUGUGCAGUGCUCAUACCUCAUUUGUCCAUAGGCAUGAGAGCUGAGCAUGAAACCAUAAUUUUCUGUUAGGAGGCAUCUAAGGUCCUUUUCCUUGUAAGCUCAUAGCAAACAUUCUUUGUUUGGAAAAAUGUGACCUUUCAGAUGAAGAACUAUGUAUGGGUAUAGGGACCUAGUAAAAGUUGUAGAUGUGCAAAAACUUACUCACCUUGGAGAAAGAAAGGACUAAAGAGGGAUUUUAGUUCUGUUUUAAAACUUGCACUGACAUAUAUGGUGCAUUUACAAUGUAUAAGCAUUACUCAUAAAAUCACCCACACAAAUAAAUUUCUAACUACAUUUAUGGAGCCUGACACCUUUUCCCCCUCAUUCCAAACAAUACUUAGGUGGUGUUUCUUCCCCUUGUUUGAUGUGGCUUAUUCUUUUUCUGGUUUUGUGGUAGGAAUUUGACAUAAAGGACAGCACCACUGCAGUGAUUUCUAUUAAUUGUCAUGUUAAGUAACUUGAUGCUAAGAGCUACCAUAGGUGUUAACAAAAAAUUGCUUCCAGAACAUAAAUGUGUGCUGCCAGCAGAAUUUAACCUCAGGCUGUAAGAGUAACACUGAGACAUGAGGAGGCUGAAGUGGAGUUCUGCCAGAUUUCCCUGUGCAGAUUAUGCAGGUGUUUCCCUAAAAAAGAAAAGUCGAUAAUAGAUACUAUGGUAAUUUAUUUCCUCCAAAUGAUACCACAGGCAAGCAGACUUUUUGGCAUGAGUUUUGACCAGGAAAUAAUUGUGAUCUCCUCAGUAUUACUUAAAUACAUUUUUUAUAGAAAGCAUAAGGAAAUUUACGUUAAAAUAUAUCAUGUGUCAAAAUCCCUGUAUUUGAUAAAUGAAAAAUGUUGGUGGCUGUUCCCAUAAUGCUUUUUGAAUUAUAAAUAUGGGGAAGAAUCAAGAAAAUGGAAAAGAUAAAUACUUCAAAAUGAAAACAUUUGAAAUAGAGAAGGUUUGUUUUUUUUUUUUAGGAGCUCUACUUGGCAAUUUCAGGAAGAGUUUGUUAAAACUUAAACUGCUGACUCUGCACACUGGGAUGGAAGAUUGCCUUCUACUCCCUCAAUUGUCAGGGUCAGUCCAAAUAGGUAAUAGAUUGUCCCACCAUGUCCUUAGUUACAGCAGUUUAAUUUCCAAAGACACCAGCUGAAGUCAUACCUUGGUAGAGAGCAGAAGAGUAACCUGUAGGGUGGCUUCUUCUCUCAUUUAUAAUGGUGUAAAUGAGCUAAAAGCAAUGGAGGCCUGAUUCAGAAAUGGUAGAAAGUGGGAGCUGGGCUUCUAGUUUUGACCCUCCCCAAAAGCCCAUAAUAAGAACCAGAUGACUCAAAGUUGCUAAAUUCAGAUGCUAAGGGAUUCAGUAAAACACGUAUCCAGCACUUUGCAAUGACAAGCACUCACUCCUGGAGGGACAGACCCACAGGGUGACAUUUGAGCGCAGGGUAAAGCAGGUGAGAUCGGCAGCUGAGUGAACCAAGUGAGAGUAGGUGUGGCCCUGGCUGAAGUUAAACUUCACUCAGUGCACUCACCCCCUCAGCUGCCACACAGACCCCUCAGCCCACUCGAGUUGGCUUUAUUGAGCAGGCAGGAUGCAGUUCAAACCCCACUGUAGGGGUUUGAGAACUGCUGAGAAGGCUCCCAUGUAUUUGCGAGCUAUAGGAUGAGGAAUACAGACACGGUUUGCUUUGGGAAGCAGCAUUAUUGCAUGAAGGUAUCCUGGAGUGAACCAGCUUGGAAAAAACAGUCUCACAGCAGUGAUGUUGGAGUGGGAUCUUCCUCUGCACAUCCUCAUCUAUUCCCUCCCCACCAUAUAUGUACUGUAAAAUAAAACUGAACUCAGUGUUGAAAGCUUAGGAAUAUUGUGAGAAACAUUAUUCUUGGAACAACAUAUGUAUGCAUUGAGGGAUGACAAUGACUGUGCUCCAGUGUAGAGUGGUUAAGGGGGCUCCAACCACAUUUAAACUCAGCCCAUGAACCUGAUGAACAUUUUAUUCCUGUUUGCCAAAACUAAGAACUGAAAUGGAGGACAACAGAGGAAAAAAAGGAACUCAGCACAUUUACAAUGUUAAUCUAUGUGGGAUAUUAAUGAAUAAGGUUAAAAAUGGAGGGGCUUUAUUAGUGAAAAACAUAAACUGAAUACUGACCAAUGUUUGCUAUAAAUGCAAUCACAGUUUAACAGCAUUUUGAAAUGGGGGAUCUGCAAACUGAAAGCAGGCCUGGAGCUCCUGUCUGUGUCCAGGUUUCAUCCUGUCAUGGGACAACAAAUGUGUAUCAAAGUCAAGGCAUAAACUCUGCUAAUUCUUCAGUAUAACCUUUUCACAUCACUUGGCAACUGCCCAUUUAACUGAAAACUGCCUGAGGAAUAUGCUAACAAGGAGAUUUAAAGGUCUUCUUUAUAAGAUCAACAUAUCUCUCCCCCACAUAAACUCUGAGAAAAAGAGUAACUAGUAAACAGAGCUGUAAAUCCUUCUCAGUUUUUGAAUAAAAAUUUUAGCUUUAUUAAUGCAGCAAGUUUUCCUUUUCAUAAUAGGACAGAAGUACUACAAAAAGUAAUAUAAUUUUAUUUUGUUACAAAAAAAUCUGUUGAGUUCUUUCAUAUGUUUUAAUUUCUUUAAAAGGAAAUUGAUUAUGAGUGGUACUGUCAAAACCUGCUUUUAAAAAAUUUUUCAAUGCAAUUGUAAAAU